rnacentral:rRNA from 1 species
UACGUAGGGGGCAAGCGUUGUCCGGAUUUACUGGGCGUAAAGAGCGCGCAGGCGGUCGUUCAAGUCGCGUGUGAAAGCCUCCGGCUCAACUGGGGAGGGUCACGCGAUACUGAUCGACUCGAAGGCAGGAGAGGGUAGUGGAAUUCCUGGUGUAGCGGUGAAAUGCGCAGAUAUCAGGAAGAACACCAAUGGCGAAGGCAGCUCUCUGGGACGGUACUGACGCUGAGACGCGAAAGCGUGGGGAGCGAACAGG